AUGUAGCCAGUUAGCCAUGUCUAUAUAUCACUCCGUAUGUAGCCAGUUAGCCAUGUCUAUAUAUCACUCCGUAUGUAGCCAGUUAGCCAUGUCUAUAUAUCACUCCGUAUGUAGCCAGUUAGCCAUGUCUAUAUAUCACUCCGUAUGUAGCCAGUUAGCCAUGUCUAUAUAUCACUCCGUAUGUAGCCAGUUAGCCAUGUCUAUAUAUCACUCCGUAUGUAGCCAGUUAGCCAUGUCUAUAUAUCACUCCGUAUGUAGCCAGUUAGCCAUGUCUAUAUAUCACUCCGUAUGUAGCCAGUUAGCCAUGUCUAUAUAUCACUCCGUAUGUAGCCAGUUAGCCAUGUCUAUAUAUCACUCCGUAUGUAGCCAGUUAUCCAUGUCUAUAUAUCACUCCGUAUGUAGCCAGUUAGCCAUGUCUAUAUAUCACUCCGUAUGUAGCCAGUUAGCCAUGUCUAUAUAUCACUCCGUAUGUAGCGGGUUAGCCAUGUCUAUAUAUCACUCCGUAUGUAGCCAGUUAGCCAUGUCUAUAUAUCACUCCGUAUGUAGCCAGUUAGCCAUGUCUAUAUAUCACUCCGUAUGUAGCCAGUUAGCCAUGUCUAUAUAUCACUCCGUAUGUAGCGGGUUAGCCAUGUCUAUAUAUCACUCCCUAUGUAGCCAGUUAGCCAUGUCUAUAUAUCACUCCGUAUGUAGCCAGUUAGCCAUGUCUAUAUAUCACUCUGUAUGUAGCCAGUUAGCCAUGUCUAUAUAUCACUCCGUAUGUAGCCAGUUAGCCAUGUCUAUAUAUCACUCCGUAAGUAGCCAGUUAGCCAUGUCUAUAUAUCACUCCGUAUGUAGCCAGUUAGCCAUGUCUAUAUAUCACUCUGUAUGUAGCCAGUUAGCCAUUAGCUAAUGAUAAAAAUCAUGUUGGUAGAGAACGACUUUGCCCAAAAACAUUCUUAACAUUUUCUUUUAAACUGCAGAGUAGGCUUACCUGAGAAAUAUAUCAUCAUUAUCUGUAUCAGUUGUGUGGCCAAGGCAUUUGCUUCAGCAGUAGGCCUAAAACAACAUUCCCCUCUUGCUUA